GACGAACGCUGGCGGCGUGCUUAACACAUGCAAGUCGAACGGUAAGGCCCUUCGGGGUACACGAGUGGCGAACGGGUGAGUAACACGUGGGUGAUCUGCCCUGCACUUCGGGAUAAGCCUGGGAAACUGGGUCUAAUACCGGAUAGGACCACUGCCUGCAUGGGUGGUGGUGGAAAGCUUUUGCGGUGUGGGAUGGGCCCGCGGCCUAUCAGCUUGUUGGUGGGGUGAUGGCCUACCAAGGCGACGACGGGUAGCCGGCCUGAGAGGGUGACCGGCCACACUGGGACUGAGGUACGGCCCAGACUCCUACGGGAGGGAGCAGUGGGGAAUAUUGGACAAUGGGCGCAAGCCUGAGGCAGCGACGCCGCGUGAGGGAUGACGGCCUUCGGGGUGUAAACCUCUUUCAGCACCGACGAAGCGCAAGUGACGGUAGGUGCAGAAGAAGGACCGGCCAACUACGUGCCAGCCGCCGCAGUAA
rnacentral:rRNA from 1 species